rnacentral:tRNA from 1 species
ACGGGCAUAGUUCAAUGGCUAGAAUAGCGGUCUCCAAAACCGUUGAUCUUGGUUCGAGUCCAGGUGCCCGUG